AAUGUUAAGGCGAACAAUUUGGC
rnacentral:siRNA from 1 species